CAUGAAUUUAUUAAAUAGUGUCUAUGUUGAAAGAAACAAUACCUAGAAAAUUUAAAUAUUAUUGUGUAGCUCACUGAAAUUGGCUAUACGACAUCUAAUACGGCUGAAAAACUUGGCAUUAUCCAAUCGGUGGUGAUCUGAGUGGAAAAGAACCGAAAUUGUAUCCCGAAACAGCAAAACCAAGGUCUCCCUAAGGCGAAGGCAGACCCAAAAGCUACACUUAUAAUGUCGCAAAUGAGGAACAAGAACUUUCUGUGUAAAUGAGAGAAUGUGAAAAAACAACAAAAGUUUCUGGACUGGGUUUAGCCACUGCAAAUUAAAUUCUUCAUUGUUUCAUAAACUCCUUAUCUUUACCUGUUAUGGUUACUUCUGGAGUACCACAGGGUAGCCAUUUAGGCUCCUUAAUUUUCACACUCUUUAUUAAUGACUUGCCUUCUGUAUUAACAAAUUCUCGAGUACUUAUGUAUGCGGAUGAUGUUAAGCUCUGUGUCCAGUAUAAGGACAUUUCAUUUCACUCUCGGUUGCAAUCUGAUCUCAAUAGCUUUCAGUCAUGGUGCUGUGCAAGUAUGUUACAACUUAAUGCCUCGAAGUGCAAUGUAAUGACUUUUUAUCGCUCCAGCCCCUUCCUGGCUCCUUACACCCUCUGCGGUAGUUCUCUUGAGAGAUUACAUUGGUUGAUGAUCUAGGUGUUAAACUAGACCCCAAGAUAAAGUUUUCUGAACACAUUUCUACCAUGGUUAAUAAAGCCAUGGGUGUGCUUGGGUUUAUAAAGAGGUGGUCAAAGGAAUUUGACCCCAAUAUAACGAAGACUCUCUAUAUCUAGCAUGUUCGUCCGAUUUUAGAAUACGGCUCAUGUGUAUGGUGCCCUCAGUACAACAUACAUCAGGACCGUAUUGAAUCAGUACAGAAAAAC
rnacentral:lncRNA from 1 species